CUCGUAGGCGGUUCGUCGCGUCCGGUGUGAAAGUCCAUCGCUUAACGGUGGAUCCGCGCCGGGUACGGGCGGGCUUGAGUACGGUAGGGGAGACUGGAAUUCCCGGUGUAACGGUGGAAUGUGUAGAUAUCGGGAAGAACACCAAUGGCGAAGGCAGGUCUCUGGGCCGUCACUGACGCUGAGGAGCGAAAGCGUGGGGAGCGAACA
rnacentral:rRNA from 1 species